UACGUAGGGUGCGAGCGUUAAUCGGAAUUACUGGGCGUAAAGCGUGCGCAGGCGGUUAUGUAAGACAGGUGUGAAAUCCCCGGGCUUAACCUGGGAACUGCAUUUGUGACUGCAUAGCUAGAGUACGGUAGAGGGGGAUGGAAUUCCGCGUGUAGCAGUGAAAUGCGUAGAUAUGCGGAGGAACACCGAUGGCGAAGGCAAUCCCCUGGACCUGCACUGACGCUCAUGCACGAAAGCGUGGGGAGCAAACAGG
rnacentral:rRNA from 1 species